ensembl:lncRNA
UAUAUAUAUAUAUAUAUAUAUAUGCCUACUGUAUAUGGAAUAUGCCUACUGGUUAGCCAGGCUGGAUGCCGGCAUUGAGAUGUUGGAUGUUGGAUGUACCUGGCCAAAGUGUCCACUAUUGAGACAGAUGUUGCAGUACUUUAACAAAUUAUUCUACUUUUUAGAAUUAUUCAUAUCACGUAAGCUUUAUCAUUCAUAUCAUAAACUCAUCAGAUAUUUAGAGUUCUUUAAUUAAGAAAAAGGAAACUCCAGGUUUGUUGUUUUUCACUUUACUUAUUCAUGUAAAUUCUGGUUCUUUAUAUUGUGUCAGAGUUUCAGGAUGAAUGGUCAAAUAAUAAUGCUUUAAAAUUAUAUGGAAUAAAAUAUUUUUAUAAUUACUUUUUUUUCCAUAUCUUGUUAACACUGCUUUUUUUUUGGAGAAAUUAGGUUUUGGUGUAACCUCAAUAAAUAUAUUUUGCUUUAGUGGUCUCCUCUGUAUGACAGCUAUAGUAUUUUAGCCUUUUCUAAAAAAUAAUAUAUUUACAUUUUUACCAUGGCAUUUUAUUGGGUGAAGCUGGAAACUGAUGCACAUUAUAUAGUUCAGCCUUGAAUUAAUCCAGCAUCUGUCCUGUUCUUCAAGGUUCAUGUUCUGGAGGAUCAGCAUGAUGUUGAUGAGAAUUCUGAUAAAAACUGUGCCUGUUUUUAUUAUAACACUGUGUAUUAGACGGUCACUCCCAGCUCCUCUGUACACCAGUGCCCCACACUCUCCAGCACCAUCCACACAGAACCGCCAGUUCAACAUCACACUGCAGUGCAAGGACAUCUGCUCCUCUGGCCAGUGCACAUUCCCUGUUCCAGAUAAAGCUCUCCCGCACCUGCAGAACAAACAAUGUGAACAGGAAUGGUUCACCCAGGAUGGAUAUUUACUGGCUGAUGGAAGCUCUACCUCACCAAACAGAACCCUGCACCCAUUAGUCCUCGAUGUAACCCGCACCAGUCUGACCACCCGAUACUGUAUCAGUGGGCAUCAGUAUGUGAUGAACUGCCACGACUCUAAGAUAGAGUUCCAGACCCAAUACUCAGCUGUGAACAACUCCAGGGGAUACAGGAGUUCUGAUAAUAUCAGAGACACCACUGUAAUCUCUAUCCUGCUGCCUACACUGGGAGCUGUGGUUUUUUCUCUGGGUCUAACCCUCUACUGUUUACGCCGCAGGAUCAGGGCUUUGCACUGUCUAUCUUACUGUGACCCUGAAUAAACCUGUCCGGUACAACUGUCCCACUGAGGCACUGAAGAUUCACAGCAUUCCUGCACAUUCCUGAAGUCUGUCUGGGUACAAAAGGAUCACUGCAGAAAAAUGUACUGUCUCUGAUUUCUUCUAAAUAUUACAGUUAUGGCCAAAAAUGUUGGCACCCCUUAAAUCUUAUAUUUUUUUAUACACAUGUUUAUUUACUUUGUGUAUUGAAAAAAAAACAAAAAAAAAACACAAGAAGAAAGACAAAAUUGGUAGAAUUUCACGCAAAACUCCAAAAAAUGUUUGGAAAAACCAAAAACCUUUGGAAAAAAGAACUGAAAUCAGCCGCUUCCUAUAACCAUCAACAAGCUACUGACACCUCUCAACUGGAUUUUUAUAUCACUCUUCUUUUACUCUAACUGCUCCAGGUCUCUCAUAUUUGAAGGGUGCCUUCUCACAAUAGCAAUUUUAAGAUCUCUCCACAGGUGUUCAAUCAUUUUUGGGUGCUGUUUGAAGAAUGUUUGGGUUAGCUCUUUCAGGGUCGGGAGCUGCCCUGGAAAAAAAACUCGAAAUUUUAUUUAUUACAUGUGAAAUUUAUUUAUUUAUUAUAUUAUUUUUUGAAAAAGGUGUUCAUUUUACUUCUGAUUGUACUUAAUAAAUAAAUGCUGUUGUUUUAAUUCUUAAUUGCU